GAUGAACGCUGGCGGCGUGCCUAAUACAUGCAAGUCGAGCGAACAGACGAGGAGCUUGCUCCUCUGACGUUAGCGGCGGACGGGUGAGUAACACGUGUAUAACCUACCUAUAAGACUGGGAUAACUUCGGGAAACCGGAGCUAAUACCGGAUAAUAUAUUGAACCGCAUGGUUCAAUAGUGAAAGACGGUUUUGCUGUCACUUAUAGAUGGAUCCGCGCCGCAUUAGCUAGUUGGUAAGGUAACGGCUUACCAAGGCAACGAUGCGUAGCCGACCUGAGAGGGUGAUCGGCGACACUGGAACGGGGACACGGUCCAGACUCCUACGGGAGGCAGCAGUAGGGAAUCUUCCGCAAUGGGCGAAAGCCUGACGGAGCAACGCCGCGUGAGUGAUGAAGGUCUUCGGAUCGUAAAACUCUGUUAUUAGGGAAGAACAAAUGUGUAAGUAACUAUGCACGUCUUGACGGUACCUAAUCAGAAAGCCACGGCUAACUACGUG
rnacentral:rRNA from 1 species